rfam:Nadsonia fulvescens var. elongata DSM 6958 unplaced genomic scaffold NADFTscaffold_10, whole genome shotgun sequence.
GCCUAGCUAGCUCAAUCGGUAGAGCGUGUGACUCUUAAUCUCUCGAAGUAGAAUUAAAGCUAUCACAAGGUUGGGGGUUCGACCCCCCCGUUGGGCU